GAUCCACGAUUUGAAGUUUAUGGGAUCUACAACGACCUAAAACUAACAUAAUUUUUUUUUUACAUACAAUUUAGUAAUUGAAUUCACAAUUAGAUAUGUUUAGAUACUUUAAUAAAAUAUUAAUACAUAUAUGAGGUAUCCCAACUGUAAAGUACAACACCUACGAAAAGUACCAAGAAGUUGCGAAGAAAUGAGAGCUACUCAUAUUUUUAACAUGAGAAAGAAGGCUAAGGUGGAGAACAAGGUGGAUGAGUUGGAUAGGAAGAUAAUAAAAGACGGUGAAGCUAAAAAUAGGUCAGUGGCUUCUCGGUUGCUUCUGCCUUUGCCGAUGGUGGUCACGAUUGCUGCUGGUGGGGCCGCCAUUGCACUUGUUUGCUACAUUAAAUACUCAGCUAGGAGAAAUUGAUGAAAGUGUAACAAGCUAUAUAUAAUAUAAAGCUAGGCAUAAACAAGGUGAUGUGGCACCUCUCUAUGACCACCAUUCUUAUUUAUCCUUUUUCUCCUUUUUUUGCUUUUUUUCCUAACUUCCUCUUAUUUAUUUGUUGAGUUAUUCAUUAUUUCCGUUGAAUAACACUAUUCUUCCCAAGAUUAAAAAAAUGUACCUUUAUGAAAAUUAACGCGUUUACGACUAAAUUUAUUACAAUAACUUUGUAUGCGUUACUAUUCUAUUUGUAUUACCCAUUACCCAUAAGUUACAAACAGAGUAUUGCUAUACAUAAGCAUAUCAUUCUUCUCCUCAAUCCAGUCUAAUCUCCGCAGAGAAAGUUCUCUCCUUUUCUUUUUGUUAUUUUAUUUCCUUUUUUCCUGUUGUGUUUUUGCCACAGUAUAACAACUUUUUCCUCGUAUUUCUAUCUUCAAUUCUUCUACAAUUGAUAAUAUGCUGAGUUUUUCACAUACUAAUCAAUUUCGUUUUUUAAUAUAUUGAAAUUUAUAUACUUUUCUUAUGUGAACGAAAACGAUUGUAGAUUGAACAGGUGGAUAAAUUACACAAGAUAGUGAAAAUUCGCAAGCCUUGCAAGAGUCUUUUGGAGGUAACUUUAUCAGGAUGAAAAAAAAGGAAACAUAUAAUAGCAAAAGAACAACCAGAACCGGUAAUCAGAAGUCGAUGCCACGCAAGUCUAGUCAACUCCAAGUUAGCAAAGAUCACUUCAGCCGAGGAUUGAGGGAUUACCCGGUAAGCCUACUCCAGAUUCACGUCCAGCUCGCAUCGAAUUCAUUACAUUGGAAUGAGACAGUCUUAUCCCGGAGUCAAGUGUCCAGUCGGUCCUCGAUGUCUAAAUAGGAUAAGCUCUCUAGACCAACUGAUUCCGGAAUGUCUGGGAUUCUCCAAGGUGGUUACAAAUCAAUAUAUAUGUGUUACGUACGGGACAUGCAGAUAAUGAUCAUAAUGAGGAGCAGAGUAUUAGGGAGGCGUUCUAGGGUUAUACUAUAGAUUAAAUAUACCGUUUUGCCCCUCUUGUAGCUAGACCAUAUGAUUUUCACGAUAAUACUACUCAAAUUCUCAAGU